rnacentral:rRNA from 1 species
AUUGAACGCUGGCGGUAUGCUUUACACAUGCAAGUCGAACGAGUGGCGGACGGGUGAGUGAUAUAUCUGAACGUGCCCAGUAUCGGGGGAUAAAUCCUCGAAAAAGUGUCUCAUACCGCAUACUAUUAGAGCGGCCGAUAUCGGAUUAGCUAGUUGGUGGGGUAAAGGCUCACCAAGGCAACGAUCCGUAGCUGGUUUGAGAGGACGACCAGCCAAACUGGGACUGAGACACGGCCCAGACUCCUACGGGAGGCAGCAGUGGGGAAUUUUGGACAAUGGGGGAAACCCUGAUCCAGCCAUGCCGCGUGUAUGAGAAGGCCUUCGGGUUGUAAAGUACUUUUGGCAGAGAAGCGGUACCUGCAGAAUAAGCACCGGCUAACUACGUGCCAGCCGCCGCGGUAAUAC